rnacentral:rRNA from 1 species
UACGGGGGGGGCAAGCGUUGUUCGGAAUUACUGGGCGUAAAGGGUUCGUAGGUGGCCAACUAAGUCAGACGUGAAAUCCCUCGGCUUAACCGGGGAACUGCGUCUGAUACUGGAUGGCUUGAGUUUGGGAGAGGGAUGCGGAAUUCCAGGUGUAGCGGUGAAAUGCGUAGAUAUCUGGAGGAACACCGGUGGCGAAGGCGAGUCUCUGGGAUGAUGCUGACGCUGAGGCGCGAAAGCCAGGGGAGCAAACGGG